UACGGGGGGAGCAAGCGUUGUCCGGAAUCAUUGGGUUUAAAGGGUCCGUAGGUGGAUAAUUAAGUCAGAGGUGAAAUCCUGCAGCUCAACUGUAGAAUUGCCUUUGAUACUGGUUAUCUUGAGUUAUUAUGAAGUAGUUAGAAUAUGUAGUGUAGCGGUGAAAUGCAUAGAUAUUACAUAGAAUACCGAUUGCGAAGGCAGAUUACUAAUAAUAUACUGACACUGAUGGACGAAAGCGUGGGGAGCGAAC
rnacentral:rRNA from 1 species